AUUGAACGCUGGCGGCAGGCUUAACACAUGCAAGUCGAGCGGAGAUGAGGUGCUUGCACCUUAUCUUAGCGGCGGACGGGUGAGUAUGCUUAGGAAUCUGCCUAUUAGUGGGGGACAACAUUCCGAAAGGAAUGCUAAUACCGCAUACGUCCUACGGGAGAAAGCAGGGGAUCUUCGGACCUUGCGCUAAUAGAUGAGCCUAAGUCGGAUUAGCUAGUUGGUGGGGUAAAGGCCCACCAAGGCGACGAUCUGUAGCGGGUCUGAGAGGAUGAUCCGCCACACUGGGACUGAGACACGGCCCAGACUCCUACGGGAGGCAGCAGUGGGGAAUAUUGGACAAUGGGGGGAACCCUGAUCCAGCCAUGCCGCGUGUGUGAAGAAGGCCUUAUGGUUGUAAAGCACUUUAAGCGAGGAGGAGGCUACUGAGACUAAUACUCUUGGAUAGUGGACGUUACUCGCAGAAUAAGCACCGGCUAACUCUGUGCCAGCAGCCGCAGUAA
rnacentral:rRNA from 1 species